CCCGACUGCUAUUUGGGUGAGGAUAAGCCAUGCGAGUUGAAUGGGAUACCUAAAUUUCCCAUGGCAAACUGCUCAGUAACACAUGAUCAACUUACCCUAUAGAGAAAAAUAACCUCGGGAAACUGAGGAUAAUAUUUCAUAGUUGAAUAGGCUUGGAAAAGUUUUUCAAUAAAAGGGAUAMAAAAAAUGGUUUUUAUCUGCUAUAGGAUAGGAUCGUGGACGAUUAUGGUUGUUGGUGAGGUAACGGCUCACCAAGCCGAUAAUCGAUAGGGGCCGUGAGAGCGGGAGCCCCGAGAUGGGUACUGAGACAACGACCCAGGCCUUACGAGGCGCAGCAGGCGCGGAACCUCCGCAAUACACGAAAGUGUGACGGGGUUACCCAAGUGUUCAAUUCUGAACUGUGGUAGGUGAGUAAUGUUCCCUACUAGAAAGGAGAGGGCAAGGCUGGUGCCAGCCGCCGCGGUAAACCAGCUCUUCAAGUGGUCGGGAUAAUAUUGGGCUUAAAGUGUCCGUAGCCGGUUUAGUAAGUUCCUGGUAAAAUUGGGUAGCUUAACUAUCUGUAUGCUAGGAAUACUGCUAUACUAGAGGGCGGGAGAGGUCUGAGGUACUACAGGGGUAGGGGUGAAAUCUUAUAAUCCUUGUAGGACCACCAGUGGCGAAGGCGUCAGACUGGAACGCGCCUGACGGUGAGGGACGAAAGCCAGGGGAGCGAACCGGAUUAGAUACCCGGGUAGUCCUGGCCGUAAACGAAUGCAUACUAGGUGAUGGUACGGCCAUGAGCCGUAUCAGUGCCGUAGGGAAACCGUUAAGUGUGCCGCCUGGGAAGUACGGUCGCAAGGCUAAAACUUAAAGGAAUUGGCGGGGGAGCACCACAAGGGGUGAAGCCUGCGGUUCA
rnacentral:rRNA from 1 species